rnacentral:lncRNA from 1 species
UUUACUGUUUAUAUUUUAACGUAUUAAAAGGCCUGAGUUUAAGCACCAAUUCUCUCUUCCGUUUUUAACAGAAAGCAAAUAAAAUAUUUUGCUGAGGACGGCGCUUUUCGUAUGUGUCUGCAUGUUGGUACUUAAACGCAAUGUGUCUGGGCGACGUUGCUAUUUCACACUACAUGCACAAGAAAGAGUAAAUUGUGGGUCCUGAUUAUCAACAGAUAACAAGACACACUGUGUAUAAAUAAAUGCGCAGCAUCAAGACCCAUUAUUGGAUUAGCUACCUAACCGCGUCUCGGGCUGUGCGUCUGUGCUGACAAAUGAACACCUCUCAUUUGGCUCAAGGACCUCAUCAGCAACGGAACGAAUUUUACAUUCUCACCCAUUACGUGAAUACGGUGUGGAAAAAACUCUGCUUUUUGAAGUGUAAAUUUGCUGCUACAGGCUGUGCAGACCAAAGCGCUUUUGAAGCAGGCAAAUGAGAUCAUCGCCAGGGACACGUGAACCUCACAAAGUUUAGGUCAUUUCUGGGGAAGGGACGCGCUGUGUGGACGCGUGCUCACCCGUGUUGGGAGGACUUAGUGGCCAUGCACCUUGGGCUGCGUGGGUGCCUCGGGUGCGGACGGUCUGUGCUGGAUACAAACCUGGGAGAGCUCCGUCUCCAUCUUCUCCAGAAACCAAGGGCUGUGGAUCCGGGCAGAGCCCAGUGUGGCCCGUCACGGGGGCUCACUAGACAGUCAGGGCCCCAGCACUCUGCCUCCCUUGAGGAAGGGUGACGGAGCCUCUGCGCCUGCACUUCAGAACAUCCCUGACCCCUGGGCUGCUCCGUGGAGAUGCCAGCAUAAGGCACGGGUGCAGCGGGGCCGGCUGGGGAACAGGACGAGCAGGGAGGAGGACACCCCCCACCGCUCCCAUUCCCAGCCAUUGUAAAGCUGCUGUAUGCUGAUGCCUCCACGUCGAUAUCUGCAGCAGACUUCUUCGUACUCCCGAUUCUUAUAUACCACGGCCUACUUGGUCUCUCUACUUGGAUGGUUCGUGCACGCCUCAAACUUAACAUAUCCAAAAUAAAACCACGGGGCUCUAUCCCAAAAUGUGUCUCUAAUCCCCAAUUCCUCCUCAUCUCAUAAAUUUCAUCACCAUCUUUCUUCCGGCUCAAGCCAGAAACUUACAGUUAUCCUCGAUUCACCCCUUUCCCUCACCAGCAAGAUACAAUCCACCAGCGGUCGUGCUGGUUUGAGCAACAAAAUAUAGGCUGCAUCCCCUUGGACUCCUUGGCCAGGUACACAUCGACCUUCACCUUGACAGCAGUGACAUCCCCCUUCCCACCGGCCUGUCCACCUCUGCUCAGACUGCCUGCUCUCCCCGUUCACACCGAGCUGAGAGGAACCUUACAAAGUGUGUGUUUCGGGGGGAGCUGCCCCGCCCCCAUUCACGGUGCCUCAGGAUGCAGUGACCUGGUUUGGAAAGAGAGUCGUUGAGAUGAGGCCGUGUGGAGCAGGUGGGUGCCUAUCCACUACGACCGGGACCCCAUUGGAAGUGAUGCCACGUGGAGGAGGAGGAGAAAUGCUCAGAGGGAAGGUGAUGUGGAGACACAAGGGCAAUGCCAUCUAGAAGAGGUUCCAGGGAUCGCCAGCAAACAUGGAAGCUGGGGGAGGCAUGAAACAGGUUUCCUUCCCGGCUUUGGAAGGAACCACGCCUACGGACUCCGGGAUCUCAGGUUUCUAGCCUCCUCGGACAACGUGAGACCAUGCAUCUCUGUUAUUUAAGCCACUCGGCCAUGGUCCUCUGCUGUGGCUGCCCGAGCAGACGGAUGCGUUCAUGUCCUCUACUUCAUAAAGCCCCCGCUGGCUUUUCCCAGUUUAUUUGGAUUAAUUCCAGUUCCUCGUCGUGACCUACCAAACUCUUCACGACCUGAGCCUGCGCUCUUCCAGUCUCGUCUCUCACCGUCUUUUCCUUCACCAUCUGCAGCCACACCAGCCACAUUUCUCUUCCUCAGUCAUGCCAGGCGCCUUCCUUCUCCCUGGCCUUUGACGUGCUGCUCCCUCUCCUUGGAGGGCUUGCCCCUCCUCCACUCUCUUUGCACGACUAACACCCUGACCUUCAGGUCUUAGCUUAGCCACCCCUCCCACCUCUGCUGUAAUUACCUGCCUCGGCCGCCUUCUUCUUUGAUAAUUGCUUAUCGUGAGAUAUAGACAUAUAUUCCUAUGUGCUUUCUUUUAUAAAUCUAGACUCUGAAGUCCAGUCUGGUCCAUCCGUGCACUGCCCAUGUCUAUAGCAUAGGGCCUGGUCCACACAAGUUCAGCAGAUGCUUGUUCAGUGAGUGAGUGAAGAGUGGUUCUUGGAGAAGACCCUCCCCCAGUCUUGCGGCUGAUGACGUGUGUUUCACAUCAGUCUUUCUCCUUUGGUGACCGCUGGAAAAGGGUGGUUCUUACCUGGGAAGCAUCCUCUGGUGUCUCUCUCUGCUGGGAAGGUCUCAAGGUGAUCUGUCUGGAACUGGAGGACUUGAUCAAGACAGUAGGCGAAGCUGUGCUCUAGGGAAGGUGGGCAGUGGCCUCUGUCCACUGCCUGCAUCAUGAGCCUGGAGAACCUCUCCUCCCAGAAAGAGCAUGGCCUUGUCAGGACAAAAGGACAUUGCUGGAUAGAAACACUCUGUGAUCUCAGCUUUUGCCAAAUUAAAAAACAGGAAGUCGUGUGGGUGAGUGUGGGCGAGAGUGCUGGCUAGCCACCAAAAUCU